GCUUGUCUCAAAGAUUAAGCCAUGCAUGUCUAAGUGUAAAUAAGUCUAUACUGUGAAACUGCGAAUGGCUCAUUAAAUCAGUUAUCGUUUAUUUGAUGAUCUCUUACUACUUGGAUAACCGUAGUAAUUCUAGAGCUAAUACAUGCUAUCAAGCCCGACUUUUUGAAGGGUUGUAUUUAUUAGACUUAAGCCAAUAUUCCUUGUGUCUAUUGCGAUGAUUCAUAAUAACUGAUCGAAUCUCAAAUUUGAGAUAAAUCAUUCAAGUUUCUGCCCUAUCAGCUUUGGAUGGUAGGGUAUUGGCCUACCAUGGCUUUAACGGGUAACGGAGAAUUAGGGUUCGAUUCCGGAGAGGGAGCCUGAGAAAUGGCUACCACAUCCAAGGAAGGCAGCAGG
rnacentral:rRNA from 1 species